AUACGUAGGUGGCAAGCGUUAUCCGGAUUUACUGGGUGUAAAGGGCGCGUAGGCGGGGGUGCAAGUCAGAUGUGAAAUCUAUGGGCUUAACUCAUAAACUGCAUUUGAAACUGUAUCUCUUGAGUGCUGGAGAGGUAGACGGAAUUCCUUGUGUAGCGGUGAAAUGCGUAGAUAUAAGGAAGAACACCAGUGGCGAAGGCGGUCUACUGGACAGUAACUGACGCUGAGGCGCGAAAGCACGGGGAGCAAACAGGAUUAGAUACCCUGGUAGUCCGUGCCGUAAACGAUGAAUACUAGGUGUAGGGGGUAUCGACUCCCUCUGUGCCGCAGUUAACACAUUAAGUAUUCCACCUGGGGAGUACGGCCGCAAGGUUGAAACUCAAAGGAAUUGACGGGG
rnacentral:rRNA from 1 species